AUUGAACGCUGGCGGCAGGCCUAACACAUGCAAGUCGAGCGAGCGGCGGACGGGUGAGUAAUGUAUGGGGACUGCCCGAUAGAGGGGGAUAACUACUGGAAACGGUAGCUAAUACCGCAUACUAUCGGAUAACCCAUAUGGGAUUAGCUAGUAGGUGAGGUAAUGGCUCACCUAGGCGACGAUCCCUAGCUGGUCUGAGAGGAUGAUCAGCCACACUGGUACUGCGACCCGCCCCAGACUCCUACGGAGUCAGCAGUGGGGAAUAUUGCACAAUGUGCUCAAGCCUGAUGCAGCCCUGCCGCGUGUAUGACGUAGUCCCUAGGGUUGUAAAGUACUUUCAGUCGGUAGGCGUUACCGACAGAAGAAGCACCGGCUCACUCCGGGCCAGCAGCCGCGGUAAUUC
rnacentral:rRNA from 1 species